ACGAACGCUGGCGGCGUGCUUAACACAUGCAAGUCGAACGGAAAGGCCUCUUUCGGGGGGUACUCGAGUGGCGAACGGGUGAGUAACACGUGAGUAACCUGCCCUUGACUUUGGGAUAACUUCAGGAAACUGGGGCUAAUACCGGAUAGGAGCUCCUGCUGCAUGGUGGGGGUUGGAAAGUUUCGGCGGUUGGGGAUGGACUCGCGGCUUAUCAGCUUGUUGGUGGGGUAGUGGCUUACCAAGGCUUUGACGGGUAGCCGGCCUGAGAGGGUGACCGGCCACAUUGGGACCGAGAUACGGCCCAGACUCCUACGGGAGGCAGCAGUGGGGAAUAUUGCACAAUGGGUGGAAGCCUGAUGCAGCAACGCCGUGUGCGGGAUGACGGCCUUCGGGUUGUAAACCGCUUUCGCUCAUGACGAAGCUUUGUGUGACGGUAGUGGGUAAAGAAGCACCGGCUAACUACGUG
rnacentral:rRNA from 1 species